GAUGAACGCUAGCUACAGGCUUAACACAUGCAAGUCGAGGGGAAACGACAUCGAAAGCUUGCUUUUGAUGGGCGUCGACCGGCGCACGGGUGAGUAACGCGUAUCCAACCUGCCCAUCACUUGGGGAUAACCUUGCGAAAGUAAGACUAAUACCCAAUGAUAUCUCUAGAAGACAUCAGAAAGAGAUUAAAGAUUUAUCGGUGAUGGAUGGGGAUGCGUCUGAUUAGCUUGUUGGCGGGGUAACGGCCCACCAAGGCGACGAUCAGUAGGGGUUCUGAGAGGAAGGUCCCCCACAUUGGAACUGAGACACGGUCCAAACUCCUACGGGAGGCAGCAGUGAGGAAUAUUGGUCAAUGGACGAGAGUCUGAACCAGCCAAGUAGCGUGCAGGAUGACGGCCCUAUGGGUUGUAAACUGCUUUUAUAAGGGAAUAAAGAGAGUCUCGUGAGACUUUUUGCAUGCACCUUAUGAAUAAGGACCGGCUAAUUCCGUGCCAGCAGCCGCAGUAA
rnacentral:rRNA from 1 species